AUGUCUGCUGAAGUCUGGAACAAAUAUUAAUGAUAUCUUUUUCUUUACAGGUAUUAGGAAACUAAGUAAGCACCAACAGCCUGAGCCCCAGCUGCUACCGUAGAUACCAUAAUAACUCUAAAGUUAUUAGGAGAGGUAGCAGCACAAAAGAAAUCAUUGGGUGCAGGACGUGAGAUGAGUAGAACAAGCAGGAACAGUGAAAAUUAAGGCACCAUGCAGUGACUGGAAUCAAAGGUAGCAGCAUGCAACUAUAGUCUGCUAGACUAAUGUGGCCAAGACAAGAAGGAUGUGAAAUGCGAUCAACAAAGAGGAUCAACUCAACUGAUCAAGGGCCCUCAAUAAUAAAACAGGGAAGUUAAACAGUGGGGAGAACUUGUUUGUUUCUUCACUGGUAUCCGGAGUUGUUUUUGCUAGUACAGCAUAGCCUGCCUGGCAUCCGUUCGCACCCUGGUGGAGUGUCAGUCUGCCUUAGGUCCUGCGUCAUACCUGCUAUUUCCAUGCAGAUGUCUUGGAUACCUUAGGGCCUCUCAAAUGGCACUGGGCGUCGAGCAUGGGCAGAGGAAUCCUGUCCUUUGCUGUGUGGAAAAACAUUGCUCCUGAAGGGCCACAACAGCAUGGUAGUGGCUGCAGCCAGGAGUGGCAGCAGUAAGCAAGUUGGAGAAAAUACUGAAAUAGAAAGAUUUAAGUCUUUUGGUUUGGUUGGAAAACUGAACUAGUUUGCCAGAGGGAAAGCAGAGGAAACUAGAAUGUUUUCCCAAAGAGGAGGUAAGGCCCCACCACACCUUGCAACAUCAAAUCUUUAAUCAUGUACCUGCCUGUAUAACAGCAGCAAUAUUCAGUGUUUCUGUAACAUCACUCAUGCAAGAAUUUCAAAGCGCUUCAUAAGCACUAAUUAAUCAAACCUCACAAACACUCAGCAAGCAGCAACUUUGCCCACCAAUGAAGUGUAAUCACUUCUAAAAUGGAACACGAUGGCAGUUUGAUAUCGCAUAACAUGACGCAACAGGUCAAGGCAAGUAGAACAGGAGCAACUGAGGGCA
rnacentral:lncRNA from 1 species